CCUACGGGAGGCAGCAGUGAGGAAUAUUGGUCAAUGGGCGAGAGCCUGAACCAGCCAAGUCGCGUGAGGGAGUACUGCCCUACGGGUCGUAAACCUCUUUUGCCGGGGAGCAAAAGCCGGACGUGUCCGGCUGUGACAGUUACCGAACAAAAAGUAUCGGCUUAAUUCGUGGCAGCCGCCGCGGUAAUACGGAGGGUGCGAGCGUUAUCCGGAUUUAUUGGGUUUAAAGGGUGCGCAGGCGGAUUUUUAAGUCAGCGGUAAAAUCGUGGGGCUCAACCCCGUCCAGCCGUUGAAACUGGGGAUCUAGAGUGUGCGAGAGGUAUGCGGAAUGCGUGGUGUAGCGGUGAAAUGCAUAGAUAUCACGCAGAACCCCGAUUGCGAAGGCAGCAUACCGGUGCACAACUGACGCUCAGGCACGAAGGCGUGGGUAUCGAACAGGAUUAGAUACCCGUGUAGUC
rnacentral:rRNA from 1 species